rnacentral:tRNA from 1 species
AAAAGAUUAAUACUUAAUUGGGUGUAUAACUAGCUUGAAACUAGGCUGAGGGGGUUCGAGUCCUCCAUCUUUUA